GGUCUGGAUUCUGGCUCAGAUUGAACGCUGGCGGAUGCUUUACACAUGCAAAGUCGAACGGGCAGCACGGACUUCGUCUGGUGGCGAGUGGCGAACGGGAGAGUAAUGUAUCGUGGAACGUGCCUAGUAGCGGGGAUAACUACGCGAAAGCGAAGCUAAUACCGCAUAUUAGCUCUUCGGGGAAAGUUGGGACCUUCGGGCCUCGCAGAAUUAUUAGGAGCGGCCGAUAUCGGAUUAGCUAGUUUGCGGGGUAACGGUCACCGGCGACGAUCCGUAGCUGGUUUGAGGACGACCAGCCACACUGGGACUGAGACACACGGCCCAGACUCCAUGGAGGUAGCAGCAGGUAAUUCUUGGACGAAUGGGGAAUCGGAUCUGCUAUCCCGGGCGUGUGCGAUGAAGGCCUCGGGUUGUGAAAGCACUUUGGCAGGAAGAAACGGCACGGAUAAUACCGUGCAAUCCGAUUUAAAAUUCUUGCAGAAUAAGCACUGGCUAACUACGUGCCAGCAGGCCGCGGUAAUACGUAGGGUGCAAAGAAGACUGAAUUAUUAAGUGUAAGCAAUAGCAGAGGAGUUCGGAAAGAAAGAUGAAAUCCCAGAGCUUAACUUUGAACUGUACGAAUUAAUGAGCGUAUAGAGUGUGUCAGAGGAGGUGGAAUUCCGCGUAGCAGUGAAUGCGCAGAUAAGCGUGGAGGAACACCGAUGGCGAAGGCAGCCUCCUGAUAACACUGACGCUCAUGCACGAAAGCGUGGGGGAGCAAACAGAUUAGAUACCCUGGUAGUCUACGCCCUAAACGAUGUCAACUAGCUUUCGUUGGGGCCUUCGGGCCCGGUAGCGCAGCUAACGCGUGAAGUUGACCGCCUGGGGAGUACGGUCGCAAGAUUAAAACCCAAAGGAAUUGACGGGGACCCCGCACAAGCGGUGGAUGAUGUGGAUUAAUUCGAUGCAACGCGAAAACCUUUACCUACCCUUGACAUGUUCGGGAAUCCCGAAGAGAUUUGGGAGAGUGCUCGCAAGAGAACCGGAACACAGGUGCUGCAUGGCUGUCGUCAGCUCGUGUCGUGAGAUGUUGGGUUAAGUCCCCGCAACGAGCGCAACCCCUUUGCUGGCUAUUGUUACGAAAGGCACUCUAUCGAGACUGCCGGUGACAACCGAGGAAGGUGGGGAUGACGUCAAGUCCUCAUGGCCCUUUAUGGGUAGGGCUUCACACGUCAUACAAUGGUCGGGACAGGUCGCCAACCCGCGAGGGGGAGCCAAUCCCAGAAACCCGGAUCGUAGUCCGGAUCGCAGUCUGCAACUCGACUGCGUGAAGCCCGGAAUCGCUAGUAAUCGCGGAUCAGCAUGUCGCGGUGAAUACGUUCCCGGGUCUUGUACACACCGCCCGUCACACCAUGGGAGUGGGUUUUACCAGAAGUAGUUAGCCUAACCGUAAGGAGGGCGAUUACCACGGUAGGAUUCAUGACUGGGGUGAAGUCGUAAUAAGGUAACUC
rnacentral:rRNA from 1 species